AACGAACGCUGGCGGCAUCCCUAACACAUGCAAGUCGAACGAGACCUUCGGGUCUAGUGGCGCACGGGUGCGUAACGCGUGGGAACCUGCCCUUAGGUUCGGAAUAACUCCCCGAAAGGGGUGCUAAUACCGGAUAAUGUCUUCGGACCAAAGAUUUAUCGCCUUUGGAUGGGCCCGCGUUGGAUUAGCUAGUUGGUAGGGUAAAAGCCUACCAAGGCGACGAUCCAUAGCUGGUCUGAGAGGAUGAUCAGCCACACUGGGACUGAGACACGGCCCAGACUCCUACGGGAGGCAGCAGUGGGGAAUAUUGGACAAUGGGCGAAAGCCUGAUCCAGCAAUGCCGCGUGAGUGAUGAAGGCCUUAGGGUUGUAAAGCUCUUUUACCCGGGAUGAUAAUGACAGUACCGGGAGAAUAAGCUCCGGCUAACUCCGUG
rnacentral:rRNA from 1 species